CCUAGAGUGGUGUAAUGGUAACAUUCCAAACUGACACAUGGGGACGCUUGCGUUGCGGAACCAUGCCCGUAUUAAGGGAUGAAGGGAUCCGGGUUCAAAUCCUGGCUCUGGGA